UAGGAAGGUUUUUGGAUCGUAAACCCCUUUUGUCAAGGAAGAAGCUCUGACGGUACUUGACGAAUAAGCCUCGGCUAACUCCGUGCCAGCAGCCGCGGUAAUACGGAGGAGGCAAGCGUUAUCCGGAAUGAUUGGGCGUAAAGCGUCUGUAGGUGGCCAGCUAAGUCUGCUGUUAAAGAUCACAGCUCAACUGUGGGAAGGCAGUGGAAACUGGCAAGCUAGAGGUUGGUAGGGGUAAAGGGAAUUCCCGGUGUAGCGGUGAAAUGCGUAGAUAUCGGGAAGAACACCGGUGGCGAAAGCGCUUUACUGGGCCAGACCUGACACUGAAGGACGAAAGCUAGGGGAGCGAAAGGGAUUAGAUACCCCUGUAGUC
rnacentral:rRNA from 1 species